rnacentral:rRNA from 1 species
GCAUAUCAAUAAGCGGAGGAAAAGAAACCAACAGGGAUUGCCUCAGUAACGGCGAGUGAAGCGGCAACAGCUCAAAUUUGAAAUCUGGCUCCUUCGGGGCCCGAGUUGUAAUUUGCAGAGGAUGCGUCGGGUACGGGUGCCUUCCGAGUUCCCUGGAACGGGACGCCAUAGAGGGUGAGAGCCCCGUCUGGUAGGACACCCAGCCCGUGUGACGCUCCCUCGACGAGUCGAGUAGUUUGGGAAUGCUGCUCUAACGGGAGGUAUACUCCUUCCAAGGCUAAAUACCGGCUGGAGACCGAUAGCGCACAAGUAGAGUGAUCGAAAGAUGAAAAGCACUUUGAAAAGAGAGUCAAACAGCACGUGAAAUUGUUAAAAGGGAAGCGCUCGCUACCAGACUUGGGUUCGGCGGUUCAACCGGGGCCACGCCCCGGGGCAUUCCGCCGGCCCAGGCCAGCAUCAGCUUUCCGUCGGGGGUAAAGGCGUCGGGAAUGUGGCUCCCCUUCGGGGGAGUGUUAUAGCCCGUCGUGUCAUACCCUUCGGGGGGCUGAGGUACGCGCUUCUGCAAGGAUGCUGGCGUAAUGGUAGCUAGUGACCCGUCUUGAAACACGGACC